AUUGAACGCUGGCGGCAUGCUUUACACAUGCAAGUCGAACGGCAGCGCGGGCCUCGGCCUGGCGGCGAGUGGCGAACGGGUGAGUAAUGCAUCGGAACGUGCCCAGUAGUGGGGGAUAGCCCGGCGAAAGCCGGAUUAAUACCGCAUACGACCUGAGGGUGAAAGCGGGGGACCGAAAGGCCUCGCGCUAUCGGAUCGGCCGAUGUCGGAUUAGCUAGUUGGUGGGGUAAAGGCCUACCAAGGCGACGAUCCGUAGCUGGUCUGAGAGGACGACCAGCCACACUGGGACUGAGACACGGCCCAGACUCCUACGGGAGGCAGCAGUGGGGAAUUUUGGACAAUGGGGGCAACCCUGAUCCAGCCAUGCCGCGUGCGGGAAGAAGGCCUUCGGGUUGUAAACCGCUUUUGUUCGGGAAGAAAUCCUGUGGGCUAAUACCCCGGGGGGAUGACGGUACCGGAAGAAUAAGCACCGGCUAACUACGUG
rnacentral:rRNA from 1 species